AUUGAACGCUGGCGGCAUGCCUUACACAUGCAAGUCGAACGGUAACAGGUCUUCGGAUGCUGACGAGUGGCGAACGGGGGAGUAAUACAUCGGAACGUGCCCGAUCGUGGGGGAUAACGGAGCGAAAGCUUUGCUAAUACCGCAUACGAUCUACGGAGGAAAGCAGGGGACCGCAAGGCCUUGCGCGGACGGAGCGGCCGAUGGCAGAUUAGGUAGUUGGUGGGAUAAAAGUUUACCAAGCCGACGAUCUGUAGCUGGUCUGAGAGGACGACCAGCCACACUGGGACUGAGACACGGCCCAGACUCCUACGGGAGGCAGCAGUGGGGAAUUUUGGACAAUGGGCGAAAGCCUGAUCCAGCCAUGCCGCGUGCAGGAUGAAGGCCUUCGGGUUGUAAACUGCUUUUGUACGGAACGAAAAGCCUCUUUCUAAUAAAGAGAGGUCAUGACGGUACCGUAAGAAUAAGCACCGGCUAACUACGUGCCAGCCGCCGCCGUAACAC
rnacentral:rRNA from 1 species